GACGAACGCUGGCGGCGUGCUUAACACAUGCAAGUCGAACGGUGAAGGGACCAGCUUGCUGGUUCUGGAUGAGCGGCGAACGGGUGAGUAACACGUGAGUAACCUGCCCCCUUCUUCUGGAUAAUCGCAUGAAAGUGUGGCUAAGACGGGAUAUUUUGGGGCUGUCGCAUGGCCGGCCGGGGAAAGAGCUUGCUGCGGUGGGGGAUGGGCUCGCGGCCUAUCAGCCUGAUGGGGGCGUGAUGGCCUACCAAGGCGGUGAGGGGUAGCCGGCCUGGGAGGGGGGACGGUCACACUGGGACUGGGACACGGACCAGGCUACUACGGGACGGAGCAGUGGCGAAUAGGAGGCAGUGGGCGCGAACCUGAUACAGCGGGGCCGCGUGAGAGAUGGAGGCGUUCGGGUUGUGAACCACUUUCGAGGGUGGAAAAGGCCUGCUACUUGUGAGUGGGUUGACGGUAGCUGGAGAAGAAGCGCCGGCUAACUACGUG
rnacentral:rRNA from 1 species